GCUCCGAUAGUGUAGCACGGCCAAUCAUACAGGACUCUCACUCCUGUGACUGGGGUUCGAAUCCCCAUCGGAGCACCA
rnacentral:tRNA from 1 species